UAGGGGUGAGUGGGGAUAUGGGCACUUAUACAUGUGCAUAUGCACGGAUCGGGGCAGGGUUUGAGUGCGUGUGUGUGGGGCUAGCUUAGCUGCAGGGCGUGGAGUGGUGCUGGCGUGGGCCUUGCGUGGCGCCAGCGUGGGGCUGCUGUGGGGCUGUGGCUGUGGACUUGCCCAGGCAGGCGCCGACAGUGACUCAGGCAGGAAUGUGCUGGCAGGACAUGGUGUUCCAGCAGCACCCAUGCCUGCGGCCAGCACCCAGUCCCCAGCCCCACAUCUGGCAUGCUGCUAACAGCCCCGUGACCUGUGCCCUGAAUAGCCUUGUCCCACUUGGCUCAGCCUCAGUCCCACACCCUGCUAGGGCUGGGGGUGCCCCGUGCACCCCAGCACUGAUGUGCAUGUCCUGUGGGGUGCCCAGGAGUGGUGCAGGGAACAGGCAGGACUCUGGGAUGUCCUGGGGCAGUGCCUAUGGGGACACUGGGGACAGGCCAGAGAGAAGCAUGGCCCCUGACAGGGGCAUGUGUGUUGCAUAGCCCAUGCCCCCAUAUCCCUAUUGGAAGCAGAUGGGUUGCCAUAUUAAUUUGCCCCAUGGGACUGCUGUCCCUCUGGAGGCAUCCUGCAGGCCAGGGGUGACUGCGGGGCCCCGGGGAGCUGUGGGCCAGGGGUGGUGGUGGUGGGUUGUGGGCACGGGUGGCCCAGCAGACGUAGAACUGGGCCUGGACCACCACUGCACAGCUGGAUUAUGUGUCCCUGCAACUAUUGUCUGCUGGUGGGGGGAAACUGAGGGGCAGGGUACUGGGGCCACCAGCAUCCUGGCACCCCAGGCCCCCUCCUGCCCCUUACUGAGCUCCAGGGUGCAGGGGUGGGUGUUGCAGGAAUGCUUGGUGCUGGGUUUGAAUUGGGGGGCACAGAGGGUGCUGAAGGUCUUCUUGGGGGUCAGGCACUGUGCCUCCCAUGCCUAGGUGCCCUCGGCAUGCUUGGGAGCACUGUGGGGGCAUGGGUACCCCAUGGCCAGGCAUCCAUGGUGAGGGGGAGGGAAGCUCACAGGUAGGCAUCUGUGGGAUGGGGGGACAGGGCACUCCACGGCCAGGUGUGGGGACUCAGGGGCUCCUGUGAUGAACCAGUGGGAGAGGUAGAGGGUGGGGGAGGGCUUAUGCAGGGCUGUAGGUCUGGGGACCACUCCAGGAGGUGACAUUCAUCUGCUCUGUUGUCUCUGCCGGUGUUGCCUUGGCAUCCACAGCCAGGCACGCCACUGCCAUGUGCUGCACCCCUGGCCUGUGCUUGGCCGAGCACUGCAGGGCACCGUGACAGCUGAGCCCCAGUUCCCACCUGCAAUCCCCACAGCCACCCUACGCGCACCCGGCACUACCCCCAGCACUCCCCCUGUGUCCACUCUGCACUCCCUCUGCCUUCCCUUGCACCCACCUACACCCAGCACCAUACUCCGCUCAGCACCAAUUUGCACCCAGACCCAAAUCUGGCCCCCAGCCCCAAGCCCCACACCCUGCACCCAUCCACAUAACCCCCCUGAGCAUCCCACACGCAGGUGUCGGCAAAGCCCAGCAAAAGCCCUGAGGCACUCUAGAAGGAAGCAGGGCCCCUGUGGGCAUUGGGAAAGCCUGAGAAAAGCCAUCAAGACACUCUGGAAGGCAGCAGAGCCCCACAUGGGCCUUAGGAAAGCCUGGCAAAAGCUGUUGGUGACUCUGGAAGGCAGCAGGGCCUCUUGUGGGAUUCAACAAAGCCUGGCUAAAGCCGUCAUGCUCUCUGGAAUGAAGGAGAGCCCUGUCUGGACAUGAGCAAAGUGUGGUAAAAGCCCUGGGGCACUCUGAAGAGAAGCAGGGCCCCUCGUGGGCUUUGGCAAAGCCCAGGAAAAGACAUCAGACACUGGAGAGGACUAGGGCCUGAUACGGGCCUUGGCAAAGCCAGCAAAAGCCCUGGGGUUCUCUAGAAGGCACCAGGGUCCCUUGUGGGCUUCAGCAAAGCCCCACUAAAUCCAUCAGACACUCUUGAAGGCAGCAGAGCCCUGCCCAGGCAUUGGCAAAGCCCAGCAAACGCCCCGAGGCACUCUGGAGAGAAGCAGGGCCCCCUGUGGGUCUUGGCAAACCCAGCAAAAGCUGUCAGAGACUCUGGAAGGCAGAUGAGCCCCACGUGGGUGUCCGAAAAGCCCAGCAGGAGCUGUUGGAGACUCUGGAAGGCAGCAGGACCUCUUGUGGGCUUUGGCAAACCUUGGCAGAAGCCAUAGGUACCAUAUGUCAUGAUGUCUCUUGAGACCUUCCUUGGGCACCACAGCCCUCUUUGAUCUCUGUAGUGCACUUUGGACUCCCCUUGCUCCCUCAGAACCAUUCUUAAUGCCUUCUUUGCAGCCCAGAACAUACAUUUUAUCCUCUACGCUAUCUAGGAUUCCUCUUUCAGUGCCUCUUUGCCAUUUUGAGUACCUCCAUUCAGCCCCUACCCCCCCGACACAUCUGUAAUUUGUUGAAAUCUUCAGAGUUCCUCAUUGUUGUCUCUGAGGCUUCUUUGGUCUCUCUGCCCUGCCUUGAGACUCCUGUGCUCCCUUUGCUAAGCUCUCCUGAGACAUAUCCAGUGCCCAGAGCCCUGUUGUGGCUUGGGGGGGACUUUCACUCCUUUCUUUCCUCAGAACCCCUCCUGAGUCCUCAGCUGUUAACCAGGGUGGUCUUUUUGUCCUUCCACCUGUUUGGCAUUCAGCCCCCUGAGGGUAUCUGUACUUUGUUAAAUUCCUUUUUGAGUCCUCAUUGUGGCCCUAUGACUUCUUAGGUCUCUCUGGCCCCCUCAGGACCUCUGUAACCCCUGUGAUGAUGUCUCCUGUUCUGUCAAAACCUUUUCUGAAGCCAUCUUUGUGCUCCAGAGCAGUCUUUUCAUUUCUAUGGCUUCUAGUACAUUUCUGUUGAGUCCCUGGUACCCCAAAGAUAUUUCUUGUCAGCUCAGAUCUCCUUGUUUUAUUUUCAGAGAAGGCAAGAGCCUUCUCUUGCCUUUGUAGUCCUCCUACAAGAUGCAUUUCUUGUAUUUCCAUGCUUUUGGGGGUGUUUUCUAGCCUUGGGGCCUUGUCCGUUUCUGUUAAGGGAGUUAGACCAUGAAGGAGUCUCAGUGACUCAGAGUUACUGGUGACUUACCAUAACUAAUUCACUUUGCAACCAGAGAUAUGUUUGAGAAAGGAUUCAUGUGGGAUCUAGUUCUGCUUUGUCAUUCAGUCCUAACCAGAACGUAGCUCUGGUAGAAGUUAAAAAAUAUGUCUGGUCUCACUAGAAAUUAAUUGUAACCGCAUAGCGUUUGGUUUCUUCAACAGGAAACUAAAGCACGUCAGUUCUGCCAGUAAUGUUGCUAUUGCAUUUAAUGAACUGCUUUCCCACAUGGGUUAGUAUAAUCUUAAGCUAUUUUUAUCUAUUUCAAUACAAGUUUGCGUUUGUCCCACUAAAAUUAACUACCAACGCGGUCACACAGCUGGUGCGCUAGACAAAGUUGUAGCAGAAGAGCAGGUAUCACGAUUUCCAGUAAUGGUCCAUUUCUGCGUGGUGUGUGGGCCAGAGCCGAACACCGCCGCUGCUCCUUCGGCCGCCUUGCGGCCCCCUGGUGCCUGCCCACCCCUUUCGCAGGGGUCGGGGGGCAUGACCUGCCGGCUAUCCCCGCAGGGAGCUCCAGCUGCUCCUGGGCCGCUUUGGGGUGGGUGCUCUGCUCCUUCAGGCAACUGCAGCCCUGGGCUGGCCGAGCAGUUUGGGCCGAGUGUUCUGAUGUGCAGCGGCCGAGGUGUCUGCCCGAGGUCAGAGCUUCGGGGUGAGUCAAGGGUGAGCAGGGUCUAUAGUGCAUAUGUUGUGCAGCGCUGGUUCUUGGAUCGAUGAUUGUAUACAGGGUGUUCAGGAGCUGCAAGGUGGUUUAAUAUUCUGCAUUCUUGUUUUUUUAACUUUAGGUGCAUUGCAGUUUUUUGGCAUUUCUGAGAUUACUGUAGAGGAACCUUAGUUUUUUUUUUUCAUUGGUUGUGUUGGAUACUGUUAAAGUUGUUAACAUCAUCUUUUUCUAUAUGACUGAUGGUGAGAUCAUCUAGCAGGGGUUAGGGUGAGCAUCCUGUAUGCAUCUGUAUAUGGAGUUCUAGCAUUUCUCAAGAAAGCAGCAGGCAUAUUAGCCAUAGUGUUUUUCACAGCAUGGGACAGCUCGUCACCUUUCCUGAUUGCCCAUACAGUACCAUGUUGUCCCUAGAGCGUUUGCAGCCUGCAGUGGGCCCCUUCCUGGCUGUGUCUGAAAUUCACUUACUAUGUGGCCCUAUAGCAGAGCCUAAAGCCUGUGGGAUGUUGGAGGACAGGAGGUACCUGGCGGAGGCAGGGCAGGGCUUGGAAGAGCAGCUCCUGAGGAGCAGCCGGUCAUAAAUCAUAAAAUCACAGAAUCAUUAAGGUUGGAAAAGACCUCUAGGAUCAUCAAGUCCAACUGCCAACCCAACACCCCCAGGCCUCCUAAACCAUGACCUGAAGUGCCACGGCUACACGUUUUUUAAAUACCCCCAGGGACGGCGACUCCCCCACCUCUCGGGGCAGCCUGUGCCAGGGCCUGACCCCUCUGGCAGGGAAGACAUUUUCCCUCAUCUCCAACCUAAACCUCCCCUGGCGCAGCCUGAGGCCGUUCCCUCUCGUCCCGUCACUGGUGACUUGGGAGCAGAGACCAGCCCCCCCCUCACUCCAGCCCCUCUCAGGCAGCUGCAGGGAGCGAGAAGGGCUCCCCUCAGCCCCCCCUUCUCCAGGCUAAACCCCCCCAGCCCCCCCAGCCGCCCCCCAGCACACUUGUGCUCCAGACCCUGCCCCAGCCCCGCUGCCCUUCUCUGGACACGCUCCAGCCCCUCAAGGCCCUUCUUGUCCCGAGGGGCCCAAACCUGAGCCCAGCACUCGAGGUGGGGCCUCCCCAGGGCCGAGCACAGGGGCCCCAUCCCUGCCCGGCGGCUGCUGGCCACCCCAGUGCUGACACAAGCCCGGGGGCUGGUGGCCUCCUUGGCCACCCGGGCACUGCUGGCUCAUGCCCAGCCGGCUGUCAGCCAGCACCCCCAGGGCCUUCUCCGCCGGGCACUUCCCAGCCCCUCUGCCCCAGGCCUGGGGCGCUGCCUGGGUUCAGGGACACAAAUACAGGGCAGGAACUGUUGGGAAGGGGUGGGGUUCCUUCCCCAGCGUUUCAGAAGAAGAGGAGGCAUUUCUAAAGUUUUGGGACUGAGGGAUGGUUGGGAAGGGGAGGCAGCAGUUUCAUCAGUCAUCCUCAGGUUAGUUUUGCAGUUGGAUACAGCUGUCAGUGAGGUCUGCUCUGUUUCAGUCGCUCUGCAGUCAAUACGAUGUACGAUGAAGUUACGAGAAAUGCAGUGUCAGCUGCCCAGGCCUCCAGGCUACCGUGCACGGGCUGACUGCCAGAUGGGCGCUGGCAACAAUACAGCAGACGUCGAUGAUGGGCUGUUUGGAGUUAAGUGGUAAUGGAGGGCAUAAGGUGGUUUUAAGGCUAUUUUAGUAGGGACAUAUCAUGGCUUAGGUGUGAACACAGGAAACUCUGUCGGCCCUAUGGCUCAGAGACACUAAGGGCUAGAGAGGUAGGAGGACUGGCCAUACAAAGCAGGCCACAGAGGGAAUAGUCCCCAUUCCUCAUUCGGUAUGUAAGAUGUACAUUAAAAUAUACUGUCCAGAACUCUGCAAUCUCUGCUCACUUGUGCCUUUUAGUCACCAUGUUUCCUGACUUAAUUUUCAUGUCCAUCCCUUCACCGUCCAUGCAGAUGUCAUGGUCACUGCUACUUAGAGGCCUUGACGAGGCCCUUAUGUCCAUUGCAGAUUUCUGGCACAGUCUUCCCUGGAAUCCCUUGGAGAAGAGUAUGUACAUGACCCCUGCUCCUAAUGGUCUCUGUCCAGGGGUCUUGUCUUUAUCGCAGUCCCUGGACAUGCAAGCCUUCUCUAAUAUCCCAGUUUUGCUUUUUUCCCUUAACUGUCCAAUGAGGCUUGCUUAUUAUCAGUCAUGGCAGUUAUGCUCUCUUGUCCUUGUUUAUCUAUUGUGUUUUUAGCACCAGUUUCUGUAGCUGUAAGGUAUCUAUUUGAGAUCUCUGAGUCACCACAUCACACCAUGUGGUUCUUCCCAUCGGCAGACUACCUCUGUUAAUUGCAUAAGGGGCUUUGUGGGUAAUUGGGCUUGGGUGUCUUGAGAUGCUUUCAUGGCAGCCCUUUCGUCCUGGGGGCUUCAUCUGCUGGGCGGUCUUGGUUGCCACUUUCAGAGCUCUUGCACCAGAAGGUAACAGUUGUACCUCAGGCUGAAAGCAGAAUAAGAAUCCAAAACACAGAAGCAAAAUCAAUGUCCCAAGAAUCAAAUUCAGAAAAGGAUGGAGAAAAUGGUAAUAAAACUUCCCCUCAACACAGUACCUGAACACAUACAGGAUCUUUUCCUUCCUUUCGAGGCUAUGAAUUCCUCACAGGAAGUCAGCCUAUGUCAAAAAUUAGAAUAAGCUUUUGGUUUUUUUUUUUUUUUUUGAUGGCACUGUGUGUCCUCCUGCAAAGCUCUUGGAGGUGUGGAGGAGUUUUCUGCAGCACACCUUGGUUCCUGGAAAGUUAAUAAAUUCAAGGUCUUGGCUCCUUUAGUGAAGAUGAGCUUCAAGUUCAGGGUUACUUUGGUGCUUUUGGUUGUGUUUCUGGUCUGUCUGUCCCAAAGCCAAUGGAACAUGCUCAAAUGAUAAAUCAGAUGCAGGCAAAGACCAUGGGUCAGACUUGGUCUGUGCUUCACUUACAUGUUUCAGGGCAGCGCUGCUGAAAUGUGGUUUCGACAAGAAGCUGCAUGGUGCACAGGGUCCCAUAACUAGUCCUGUGCCUGUCGCAACCCAUCCAACCUGAUCCAUGACAGGGGCAAGUAGCAGAAACAAGCCCCCUUUUUUCCCAUUGGUGCUUGAUCUCCAGUGUAGGGAAAGUUUUUCUGGGAAGGCAGGGAGAAAGCUCCAAAGAAACCACAAACAUGACGCCAGAAGAGCCCGAGACUCCUGCUGCUUGACGGCUAGGCAGGUGCUGGCUUGUGGAUGGACUCCAAGAUGCUGGGGAAGGCAGGAAACAACAUGUAGCAAAAGUCUUAUGAGUGAAGAAUCUGCCAAAACCCCUUUUCUCUGGGUGGAAAAAAAACAGCAAAUGCCAACAGCCACACAGGAGGAGCAGAAUGUCCCAAGGGAGUGGAGGAGUGAUCUCAGAGCGGUUAUAUGAAGCAGAGGCUUUAUAGGGAUGUGGGUUCCAGGGACAGAGUGAGCCCUGAAUCCUCUAUGAAGUGAGGAACAAGAAACAAAAAUGCAUUCAGGCACUGUCAUUACAGCAACACAGAGGCUUCUGGUUAGCAGGGCUUGUUUCUUUGCGUCGUCAUCAUCAUCACCACAACAAUAGGGAAGGCCAUUUAAUGAAAGCCUGGGAUGGCAGGGAACAGAGCUCUGCUCCUUCUGGGUGAGUGUGACAAAGGGAGCUGGUAGGGAGCAUAGGGGGGUCUGGUGCCUGCUGUCCUCCCAGGGGAUGGACAGCCUGUGUCCCCAAAGAGCCCAGUGAGCUUUAGGAGCUGGAGGACAGAGGCUCCAAGCAUUGCUGGGCACUCACCCCUUUUACCUCUCUGAGGCAUGUCUGGAUGGGGCUUUGCUCUGCCCAGGGAAGUGGAGAAGUUUGUUUAUCCUUCCAGGCUGAGAAGAUUUGGAUGGAGCAGUGGUUGUCCCUGUCACAACAUAGGCUCAGGGCUUAAUCCUUGGGAUGGUCCCAUUUUUGGGGGAGGAAGGAAACUGGGGUCCAGUGAGCCUGGUGGGUAUGAAUGUGGUGAGGAUUAGGAUGCCAUGGGAAUGGGGAGUUGCUGGUGGGUGUCUCAGGGACCUGGCAGGCCUUGCCAAACCUGCCUCCCUGGAUGGCUUAUGUCCAAGGCCAGCAUUACUCCUCUCUAUGCUAGGGACGCUGCAGGAGACUUGGAAGGUGCAUCCCAGAGGUGCUCAUCCCUUCUUCCUUUUCUCCUUUCAGCUCAAGCCCUUGUCCUUGCUGAUGAGUCUCUGCUUACAGAUUUAUGAUGACAGCCCCUGGGGUGCUGGGCAGUUCCUGCUGAACAAGGCAACAGGCCUUGGUGGUCCCUUAAGCAGCAGCGGGGCAUGGUGUGACUCUGCUGUGCCUCCAUGUGUCUCCUGGCUCAAAAGAUGCCAGGCAGCACUGGGCACUGGGCACCAGUCCUGACAUCCCUCUGAAUGAUUAAACAGUCCCCCAAAAUCCCACUAGUGCCAUAGAAACCCCUGUGAGCUUUGGGGUUCUGCCCUCUCCCCCCAUCCCAGCCUAUGUGCUCAGAGUUGAGGGCUCCCACCACGCAUGCUGUUGCACUGAUGUUGCACACUGUCCUGCCUUUCCCUCCUGCCUGGACCUUCGCAGCUGCAGAGACAGCCCUGCUGUCCCUGGACCCAUUCUGGAGCAUGAUACUUCCAGGAGAAAGCAUGACCCUUAGGUGCUGAGGCUCCCACUUGUUGUGGCAGCACCCCAUGGCUUGGUACAAUGGCAAGCUCUUGGCACCCAUAGACAUGGACAGGAUCAGAAAUGCCAGACAGAAACAAAGGGGCAGAACGAGUGCCAGAGCCCUGACGCCGCACACAGCAACCAUGACACCCUGACUGUCUCCUGUGGUGCGUGACAUGACUCAGGGAUGAGCUGUGCUAUCCCCCUGCCCUAGGACCCCUGGGCUUCGCUGUGGACCUAUUCGUCCUGCCCUGGGACAAAUGCAGCUCUUGUGGGGUUAACAGAGGCAAUGCUGUUGGGCUUGGGGCACUGCAAGCUGGGCUAGGGGGCUUUUUGCCUCCCCUCCUCUGCAAAAUGCACCCCUUUUUCCAGGGCCCCUUUCAGCUGCUGCUCUUGGGGUCUCUUUCAGGCUGGCUGAUCCUCUGAGUCCUGUCGUACACAGUGUUCAAAGGGGAACUGCUGCCCAUGCAGUGCUGGGGAUGGGAUGGGGCGGCGCAUCUUCGUUGCGAUGUUACAGAGGUGGAGCUGGCAUCACCGUGCAACACACCUUGGCAGAACAGCAUUCCACCUGCUGACCUGAGAGCCACCACAGCGGCAGUCUUGAUGCCAAAACAAUUGGGUUGAAGUUACAAAGGCCUUUUGCCAUCAAAGCAAGAUGACAGCUAGAUUUCUACCAGCACCUGUAUUUCAGCUGUGUUGCCGGCUUACAGACCAGGAGGUGGCAAAAGGCAAACGCUCGCAGGCAGGAGCGGCAGGGAGUGCAGCGCUACGCUCCUGUGCCGAGCUAAGAUCGAACCUCCAGGCCUCCGCGUUCAUCUGCUGAGGACCUCCAACAUACCAACAUGCCUCUUUGCUUUCCCCGUUUCGUGCCUAAUUACUUUGCACACUGGAGGGCAGAGCGGUAAGUAACGUCGUGCAGCGUCUCUUAUCUGAGCGCCAAGCCCUGCCCAGGGCGCCGUGUGCGUACGCAGGACUAGGAGAGCAGGUUAUUGAUAGCGCAAAGGUGCGGGAAGGUGCAAGCAACAAAGCCCAAGGACCACCAGCGUACCCCUCGUUUGCAGAUCAGCCCCUUGCAUCUGGUCUGCUCUGGCGAACUGGUUCCUGCUGAACAGAGCUGCCCCCUCACACAGCCUCUUUCAGUCUCCUCCAGCCUCCUCAGCCUCUUUCGCUUUCAGUCUCCUCUCGCUUGUCUCCAGGCUGCCCUCUGUGUUGCCUUGUUUUUUUUUAAAUCUGCCCCCAGCGCCUGUUGACUUGCUGCCGUCACUGCCACAACCCUGGUGCCACAGGCUGUCCCCGAGGGGGCGGGGGACACGACCAGAUGACACGGGCCAACAGCACGACCGUGUCCUACACGGUGCCUGUGCUCUGUCUCCUCCCUCGGGAACGGGCUGCGUGGACAGGAACAACCGCCAGAGUCUCAAAGCACUUGCAAGCGAAGGACUGGAAUGAUCGAGCCGCUUGGACCCUUUUUGGUGCGGAGGCGACGGCUGCUCCUGCCGGGGCUGGCGUGGGAAGGGGCAGCGGGACGUCAGCUCCGCGCCGCCGGCGGCAGCUGCCCGCUCCGGACGGUACCAGCGGGGCGGCCGUACCGGUGCUGCGCCUUCUGCUGCCGUCGGGAACGAACAGUCGAGACCACGCCGCCGCCCGGUGGCCGAGGCGCGGUACUGCAGCCGCGCCGCCGCCUUCGCUCCUUGGCGGGGCCGGUGUGCGGGGCAGCGUGCGGCCCCGCAGGAGGGCCUGGAGCACCAGCGGGGCGAGCGAGCCCCAUGGCGGGUGCAGACGUGUCUCCGGCCUGCUGGCUGCCCGGGGGUGGCGGGAUAGAACCACAGGCUCAUUAAGGUUGGAAAAGACCUCUCGGAUCAUCAAGUCCAACCACCAACCCAACACCCCCAGGCCCCCUAAACCAUGCCCCGAAGUGCCACGGCUACAGAUCUUUUAAAUACCCCCAGGGACGGUGACUCCCCCACCUCUCGGGGCAGCCUGUGCCAGGGCCUGACCCCUCUGGCAGGGAAGGCAUUUUCCCUCACACCCAACCUAAACCUCCCCUGACGCAGCCUGAGGCCGUUCCCUCUCGUCCUGUCACUGGUGACUUGGGAGCAGAGACCAGCCCCCCCCUCACUCCAGCCCCUCUCAGGCAGCUGCAGAGAGCGAGAAGGGCUCCCCUCAGCCCCCCCUUCUCCAGGCUAAACCCCCCCAGUCCCCUCAGCCGCCCCCCAGCACACUUGUGCUCCAGACCCUGCCCCAGCCCCGCUGCCCUUCUCUGGACACGCUCCAGCCCCUCAAGGCCCUUCUUGUCCCGAGGGGCCCAAACCUGAGCCCAGCAUUCGAGGUGGGGCCUCCCCAGUGCCGAGCACAGGGGCCCCAUCCCUGCCCGGCUCCUGCUGGCCACACCAGUGCUGACACAAGCCCGGGGGCUGGUGGCCUCCUUGGCCACCCGGGCACUGCUGGCUCAUGCCCAGCCGGCUGUCAGCCAGCCCCCCCAGGGCCUUCUCCGCCAGGCACUUCCCAGCCCCUCUGCCCCAGGCCUGGGGCGCUGCCUGGGGUUGGUGUGACCCAAGGGCAGGACCCGGCACUGCCCACUCUGCUGGAGGCAAGCCAGGUCAAGGUAGCCCCAGAGAGUUACCCAAGAGCUGAGAGAAGGGAAGAUAGGAAGAAAGUGGACAGCCCCCUGCAGGGUGUAGGUGCUGGGUGUCUCCGUAAUCCACCAGAGCUCCCCCUGAGCCUCCCCUGGCCCUACUUGCCCCAUGUACCUGCCCCCAGCUCCAGCACCUCCCCUGAAGCCUGUUGUGUAGUCCCAGGCUGUCCCCAGGCUGUGUUGUGAAAGCCACAAGCUGGCUCUCAAACGUGCUGGAUUAUUCCUGAAUGUGGGUGCUGUUAGCAGCAGUGCAGCAGGGAAGGAGCGGUGUGUCCAGAAGCCCCUGCGGAAGGAGAGGCGUUGGUCAUGGUCGAUCAAUGUUAAUAACAGUCACUGCUUCCUCUUUCCCUCUCCCAGAGGCUGUGCUGAGGAUGCGGUUGUCCGUGCCUCCCCUGGGGAUGCUGUUGACAGCAGCCACCUCAAGCUUGCGUGGGUUGUCCCUGCCUGGCCUCACUCUCCUCAAGGUGUGGGGGUGAAAAGGGGCAGGUUGAACAUGUCCUGGCUGUGGACAGGAGCUGCCGUGGCUGAAGCUGGAGAGGCCAGAGAAAGGUAAAGGAGAAGAAAGUGAAGGCCAUCUGGCUGGCAGCUCCCUUGCACUGCAGGCAAGAGAAAACCUGUGUCUCUGGGUGAGGAAGGAUCUCUCUUUGUAGUCCACAGCAGACCAGACCGUUAGUGUGCACCACAGGGUCUGUACACAUAACCCAAAGCGUGGUAUGUCCGGGAAGUGCACGAGUGAGUGAGGCUGCGUGUCUAGGAGGCCUCAUCUCAUAAAAGCUGUAAGACAGCCAUGCAUUCUCUUAGGUGGAGGACGGCCAAGUGACUGGAGUUACAGAAGAGGGAGGAAAGAAGGAGAAAGAAGCAUCAGAACUGGCAAAUUCCCCAACAGCACUGAGAGCAAGAGCUGCUUUGAGUCCUGGGCCCUCAGGCCCUGUCACCCCUCUUGUGCAUCCCAGGCCAUCCCUGCCCUUCUCCUGGCCCCAUCUCUUUCCCAUGCUGCUGUGACUACUUGUUUUGCUUCCAUGAACCUCUCCUAUUUUCUCUAUUCUUCUAUCCUGCUCCCUCUUCCUCUCUCCCUUUACCUCUCUUGUUCUACCACUCCCUUUUUCUCUCUGUGCUUUUGUUCUGCUUCCUCUCCCUCCUUUUUUUAUCCUCCAUCUCUGUCCUGCACCCAUCGCUGUUGUUUCCUUUUUGAUCUCUUUGUCCUUUCCUUUCCUUUCCUUUCCUUUCCUUUCCUUUCCUUUCCUUUCCUUUCCUUUCCUUUCCUUUCCUUUCCUUUCCUUUCCUUUCCUUUCCUUUCCUUUCCUUUCCUUUCCUUUCCUUUCCUUUCCUUUCCUUUCCUUUCCUUUCCUUUCCUUUCCUUUCCUUUCCUUUCCUUUCCUUUCCUUUCCUUUCCUUUCCUUUCCUUUCCUUUCCUUUCCUUUCC